GACCUCAAAUCAGGUAGGACUACCCGCUGAACUUAAGCAUAUCAAUAAGCGGAGGAAAAGAAACUAACAAGGAUUCCCCUAGUAACUGCGAGUGAAGCGGGAAAAGCUCAAAUUUAAAAUCUGGCGGUCCCUGUGGCCGUCCGAGUUGUAAUUUAGAGAAGUGUUAUCCGCGCUGGACCGUGUACAAGUCUCCUGGAAUGGAGCGUCAUAGAGGGUGAGAAUCCCGUCUUUGACACGGACUGCCAGGGCAUUGUGAUGCGCUCUCGAAGAGUCGAGUUGUUUGGGAAUGCAGCUCAAAAUGGGUGGUAAAUUCCAUCUAAAGCUAAAUAUUGGGGAGAGACCGAUAGCGAACAAGUACCGUGAGGGAAAGAUGAAAAGAACUUUGGAAAGAGAGUUAAACAGUACGUGAAAUUGCUGAAAGGGAAACGCUUGAAGUCAG
rnacentral:rRNA from 1 species